CUAGAGUUUGAUCCUGGCUCAAGACAGAACGCUGGCGGCGUGCCUAAUACAUGCAAGCCGAGCGGACUGAUUCGGGGCUUGCUCCGAUGAGGUCAGCGGGGGACGGGUGAGUAACACGUGGGUAACGUGCCUUGAUGUGCUGGCAUAUCGCUUGGAAACGACAGCUAAUACAGUGAAAUCGGUGUCGUUCUGCUGAAUGGACAGUGCGAGGUGCGGGUGCGCUCCGAGCGACUGGAUCCACUAUAAGGACGAACCAGAGAUGAGGAGAAACCAUGUAUCGAAUGGUUGGACGAGAAAUAGAGAACGAAAAGAGCACCGGUUAGGGGAGGCUCCCGGCAGGCCCGCUACUCUACACAGGGGAGCGAGAGCCGACACAAAAUCGUAAUGGGAGCACCGGCUC
rnacentral:rRNA from 1 species